CAGCAGCCGCGGUAAUGCGUAGGUGGCAAGCGUUGUCCGGAAUUAUUGGGCGUAAAGCGUGCGUAGGCGGUUUGUUAAGUCUGCUGUGAAAUCCCCGGGCUCAACCUGGGAAUGGCAGUGGAUACUGGCAAGCUAGAGUGUGUCAGAGGAUGGUGGAAUUCCCGGUGUAGCGGUGAAAUGUGUAGAGAUCGGGAGGAACAUCAGUGGCGAAGGCGGCCAUCUGGGACAACACUGACGCUGAGGCACGAAAGCGUGGGGAGCAAACAGGAUUAGAUACCCGUGUAGUCCCUGUCUCUUAUAC
rnacentral:rRNA from 1 species